rnacentral:rRNA from 1 species
AUUGAACGCUGGCGGCAUGCCUUACACAUGCAAGUCGAACGGCAGCGGGCCUUCGGGUGCCGGCGAGUGGCGAACGGGUGAGUAAUGCAUCGGAACGUGCUAUUGAGUGGGGGAUAACGUAGCGAAAGUUGCGCUAAUACCGCAUAUUCUGUGAGCAGGAAAGCAGGGGACCGCAAGGCCUUGCGCUCUUUGAGCGGCCGAUGUCAGAUUAGCUAGUUGGUGAGGUAAAGGCUUACCAAGGCGACGAUCUGUAGCGGGUCUGAGAGGAUGAUCCGCCACACUGGAACUGAGACACGGUCCAGACUCCUACGGGAGGCAGCAGUGGGGAAUUUUGGACAAUGGGGGCAACCCUGAUCCAGCCAUGCCGCGUGAGUGAAGAAGGCC